GACGAACGCUGGCGGCGUGCUUAACACAUGCAAGUCGAACGGAAAGGCCUUUUCGGAGGUACUCGAGUGGCGCACGGGUGAGUAACACGUGGGUGAUCUGCCCUGCACUCUGGGAUAAGCCUGGGAAACUGGGUCUAAUACCGGAUAGGACCGCACUUUAGUGUGUGUGGUGGAAAGUUGUUUCGGUGUAGGAUGAGCCCGCGGCCUAUCAGCUUGUUGGUGGGGUAAUGGCCUACCAAGGCGGCGACGGGUAGCCGGACUGAGAGGUUGGUCGGCCACAUUGGGACUGAGAUACGGCCCAGACUCCUACGGGAGGCAGCAGUGGGGAAUAUUGCACAAUGGGCGCAAGCCUGAUGCAGCGACGCCGCGUGGGGGAUGACGGCCUUCGGGUUGUAAACUCCUUUCGCCAGGGACGAAGCGUUUUGUGACGGUACCUGGAGAAGAAGCACCGGCUAACUACGUG
rnacentral:rRNA from 1 species